rnacentral:rRNA from 1 species
AUUGAACGCUGGCGGCGUGCUUAACACAUGCAAGUCGAUCGGUAACGCGGGGGCAACCCUGGCGACGAGAGGCGGACGGGUGAGGAACGCUUGGGAAUCUGCCCUUCAGCGGGGGACAACACAGGGAAACUCGUGCUAAUACCGCAUACGCUCCACGGAGGAAAGCCGGGGACCGCAAGGCCUGGCACUGAAGGAUGAGCCCAAGUCGGAUUAGCUAGUUGGCGGGGUAACGGCCCACCAAGGCGACGAUCCGUAGCUGGUCUGAGAGGACGAUCAGCCACACUGGGACUGAGACACGGCCCAGACUCCUACGGGAGGCAGCAGUGGGGAAUAUUGGACAAUGGGGGAAACCCUGAUCCAGCGACGCCGCGUGGGUGAAGAAGGCCUGCGGGUUGUAAAGCCCUUUCGGUAGGGACGAAAGCUCUCGACCUAACACGUCGGGGGGUUGACUUAACCUACAGAAGAAGCACCGGCUAACUCUGUGCCAGCCGCCGCGGUAACAC